rnacentral:rRNA from 1 species
GACGAACGCUGGCGGCGUGCUUAACACAUGCCAGUCGAACGGAAAGGCCCUGCUUGCAGGGUACUCGAGUGGCGAACGGGUGAGUAACACGUGGGUGAUCUGCCCUGCACUUCGGGAUAAGCCUGGGAAACUGGGUCUAAUACCGGAUAGGAGCCAUUUUUAGUGUGAUGGUUGGAAAGUUUUUUCGGUGUAGGAUGAGCUCGCGGCCUAUCAGCUUGUUGGCGGGGUAAUGGCCUACCAAGGCGGCGACGGGUAGCCGGCCUGAGAGGGUGGACGGCCACAUUGGGACUGAGAUACGGCCCAGACUCCUACGGGAGGCAGCAGUGGGGAAUAUUGCACAAUGGGCGCAAGCCUGAUGCAGCGACGCCGCGUGGGGGAUGACGGCCUUCGGGUUGUAAACUCCUUUCGCUAGGGACGAAGCUUUUUGUGACGGUACCUAGAUAAGAAGCACCGGCUAACUACGUG